CAGUCGCCGCGGGAAUACGUAGGUGGCAAGCGUUGUCCGGAAUUAUUGGGCGUAAAGGGCUCGCAGGCGGUUUCUUAAGUCUGUUGUGAAAGCCCCGGGCUCAACCUGGGAAUGGCAAUGGAUACUGGCGAGCUAGAGUGUGUCAGAGGAUGGUGGAAUUCACGGUGUAGCGGUGAAAUGCGUAGAGAUCGGGAGGAACAUCAGUGGCGAAGGCGGCCAUCUGGGACAACACUGACGCUGAGGCACGAAAGCGUGGGGAGCAAACAGGAUUAGAUACCCGAGUAGUCCCUGUCUCUUAUAC
rnacentral:rRNA from 1 species